GCGGUGAGCGGAAGAGCUCAAAUUUGAAAUCUGGCUCUCUUCGAUUGCCAGAUGUGUUUCUAUAAAGGCGUUUUCCGUGUGGGACUUGGUCAUGUUCUCUUGAAAAGAACUAUCCAAAAGGGUGAAAUCCCGUACUUAACACGACCACCGGUGCUCUGUGAUUCCUCUUCUACGACUCGAGUUGUUUGGAAAUGCCUCUCAAAAUGGGUGGUGAAUUCCCUCUAAAGCUAAAUAUUGGAGAGAGACCGAUAGCGAACAAGUACCGUGAGGGAAAUAUGAAAAGCUUUUUGAAAAGAGAGUUAAACAGCACGUGAUUUUGUUGAGGGGAAGACUAUUGAUCUCACUCGUGUUCUUUGAAUUCACCCCUUUCUGCUGGUCCACUUCCUUGUAUCGGGUCAACAUCAGUUUUGUCCGGAGGAUAAUUGUAUUAGGAAUGUGACUUCUCCCGAAGUGUUAUAGCCUAUUAUCACAUAUACUGGGUGAGACUGAGGACUGUGCCUCGCCUUUAUGGCCGGCCUUCGUACAGAUUCUAGCUUACCAUGCUGAAUAAAUGGCUCUAAAC
rnacentral:rRNA from 2 species